rnacentral:rRNA from 1 species
AUUGAACGCUGGCGGCAUGCCUUACACAUGCAAGUCGAACGGUAACAGGCCGCAAGGUGCUGACGAGUGGCGAACGGGUGAGUAAUACAUCGGAACGUGCCCGAUCGUGGGGGAUAACGGAGCGAAAGCUUUGCUAAUACCGCAUACGAUCUACGGAUGAAAGCAGGGGACCGCAAGGCCUUGCGCGGACGGAGCGGCCGAUGGCAGAUUAGGUAGUUGGUGGGAUAAAAGCUUACCAAGCCGACGAUCUGUAGCUGGUCUGAGAGGACGACCAGCCACACUGGGACUGAGACACGGCCCAGACUCCUACGGGAGGCAGCAGUGGGGAAUUUUGGACAAUGGGCGAAAGCCUGAUCCAGCCAUGCCGCGUGCAGGAUGAAGGCCUUCGGGUUGUAAAC